rnacentral:rRNA from 1 species
GGGGAGGCAGCAGUAGGGAAUCUUCCACAAUGGGCGCAAGCCUGAUGGAGCAACACCGCGUGAGUGAAGAAGGGUUUCGGCUCGUAAAGCUCUGUUGUUAAAGAAGAACACGUAUGAGAGUAACUGUUCAUACGUUGACGGUAUUUAACCAGAAAGUCACGGCUAACUACGUGCCAGCAGCCGCGGUAAUACGUAGGUGGCAAGCGUUAUCCGGAUUUAUUGGGCGUAAAGAGAGUGCAGGCGGUUUUCUAAGUCUGAUGUGAAAGCCUUCGGCUUAACCGGAGAAGUGCAUCGGAAACUGGAUAACUUGAGUGCAGAAGAGGGUAGUGGAACUCCAUGUGUAGCGGUGGAAUGCGUAGAUAUAUGGAAGAACACCAGUGGCGAAGGCGGCUACCUGGUCUGCAACUGACGCUGAGACUCGAAAGCAUGGGUAGCGAACAGGAUUAGAUACCCUGGUAG